ACGAAGGGUGCAAGCGUUAAUCGGAAUUACUGGGCGUAAAGCGCACGCAGGCGGUUUGUUAAGUCAGAUGUGAAAUCCCCGGGCUCAACCUGGGAACUGCAUCUGAUACUGGCAAGCUUGAGUCUCGUAGAGGGGGGUGGAAUUUCAGGGGUAGGGGUGAAAUGCGAAAAGCUUGGGAGGACUACCGGUGGCGAAGGCGGCCAACUGGAACAAAACUGACGGUGAGGAGCGAAAGCGUGGGGCGCCAACCG
rnacentral:rRNA from 1 species